AUGAGGACUAAUCUGUCUCUUACGGACCAACCAAUGAAAUUAAUCUUUCAGUACAAAAGCUGAAAUAAAAACAUAAGACGAGAAGACCCUGUGGAGCUUCAAACCAAACACACCCUGCAUGCUCCUCAGGUUUUUAGUUGGGGCGACUUCGGAGCACAAUAAAACCUCCAAAAUUUUUUAUCUUCAAGAUUAACAAACCAAAAACUUUAUUAGACCCAGCAAUGUAUAACAUUGUCUGAUCACUGAACCAAGUUACCCCAGGGAUAACAGCGCCAUCCCCUCCUAGAGUCCAUAUCGACAAGGGGGUUUACGACCUCGAUGUUGGAUC
rnacentral:rRNA from 1 species